AUACGGAGGGUGCAAGCGUUACUCGGAAUCACUGGGCGUAAAGCGCGCGCAGGCGGCCAUUUAAGUUGGAUGUGAAAGCCUACGGCUCAACCGUAGAACUGCAUCCAAAACUAUUUGGCUAGAGUGUGGGAGAGGAAGAUGGAAUUAGUUGUGUAGGGGUAAAAUCCGUAGAGAUAACUAGGAAUACCAAAAGCGAAGGCAAUCUUCUGGAACACUUCUGACGCUGAGGCGCGAAAGCGUGGGGAGCAAACGGGAUUAGAAACCCUAGUAGUCC
rnacentral:rRNA from 1 species